UACAGAGGGGGCAAGCGUUGUCCGGAAUUAUUGGGCGUAAAGAGCGUGUAGGCGGUUCGGUAAGUCUGCCGUGAAAUCCUGAGGCUCAACCUCGGGCGUGCGAUGGAUACUGCCGGGCUAGAGGAUGGUAGAGGCGAGUGGAAUUCCCGGUGUAGCGGUGAAAUGCGCAGAUAUCGGGAGGAACACCAGUAGCGAAGGCGGCUCGCUGGGCCAUUCCUGACGCUGAGACGCG
rnacentral:rRNA from 1 species